rnacentral:rRNA from 1 species
AUUGAACGCUGGCCGCAUGCUUUACACAUGCAAGUCGAACGGCAGUACCGACUUCGGUAUGGUGGCGAGUGGCGAACGGGGGAGUAAUACAUCGGAACGUACCGCGUAGUGGGGGACAACAAGUCGAAAGAUUUGCUAAUACCGCAUACACUCUGAGGAGAAAAUCAGGGGACCUUAGCUCAUUGUCAUAUGCGAGCGGCCGAUGGCUGAAUAGAUAGUUGGUGGGGAAAAGACCUACCAAGGCAACGAGCAGUAGCGGGUCUUAGAGGACGAUCCGCGACAGGGGGACGGAGGAACGGGCAAGACUCUUACGGGAGGCAGCAGUGGGGAAUCUGGAACAAUGGGCGCAAGCCUGAACCAGCAAUGCCGAGUGCGUGAAGAAGGCCUUCGGGUUGUAAAGCGCUUUUGUCAGGGAGCAAAGACUGAUGGCUAAUAUCCAUCGGAGUUGAGAUUACCUGAAGAAUAAGGACCGGCUAACUACGUGCCAGCCGCCGCAGUAACAC